rnacentral:rRNA from 1 species
CCUACGGGUGGCAGCAGUGAGGAAUAUUGGUCAAUGGACGCAAGUCUGAACCAGCCAUGCCGCGUGCAGGAAGACGGCUCUAUGAGUUGUAAACUGCUUUUGUACGAGGGUAACCGCAGAUACGCGUAUCUGUCUGAAAGUAUCGUACGAAUAAGGAUCGGCUAACUCCGCGCCAGCAGCCGCGGUAAUACGGAGGAUUCAAGCGUUAUCCGGAUUUAUUGGGUUUAAAGGGUGCGUAGGCGGUCGGAUAAGUUAGAGGUGAAAUCCCGAGGCUCAACUUCGGAAUUGCCUCUGAUACUGUUCGUCUAGAGAGUAGUUGCGGUAGGCGGAAUGUAUGGUGUAGCGGUGAAAUGCUUAGAGAUCAUACAGAACACCGAUUGCGAAGGCAGCUUACCAGGCUACUUCUGACGUUGAGGCACGAAAGCGUGGGGAGCAAACAGGAUUAGAUACCCCUGUAGUC